CUCAUAACUGUGGUAUAUAACAGCCAACUAUUUCGAUGUACGAGCAUACUAAAACCAGCCUAAAGCCUAUUAUUACUAAAGUACAAAAAAUACAAUAAUUAUGCAUUUGUUUUGUUAUUUUUGUAAUUGUAACAUUGCAAAUUUUUCAGAAAAUUUCUAGACUUCGACCCAGGUUCCCAGAAAGAAAAUAAUUUUUUUCCACCCCUGGUGUUGAUCAUAUCUGGAAGGGCAUUGCAUCAGAAAAUUCUGCUUUACAUGGCAUGGAUAAU